GCCUCCGUGGCACAAUCGGCUAUAGCGCAUUCGGCUGUUAUCCGAAGGUUCCCAGUGGUUUCAAAGGCCCUACCGGGGGCG